ensembl:snRNA U4 U4 spliceosomal RNA
AGCUUUGCACAGUGGCAGUAUUGUAGCCAAUGAGGUUUAUCUGAGGUGAGAUUAUUGCUAAUUGAAACAUUUUGCUAAAGUUAUAAAAUUGAAUACAAUUAUAAAUAAAACCAGAAGUACUUCUAAAAAU